rnacentral:lncRNA from 1 species
AUGUAGUGUACGAUAUUUGUACGCGGAAGAUAUCACGUCGCUGGAAAGGAUAACCUUUAAAUCAAAACCUCAGUUGUUAAGAGACUUUUACUAUCCACUUGGCAGCUCAAGACUAAGAGAAAUGCAAGGAUUCUUCCGGUUAGAACCUAUUGGAGCCGUUGAUAGUGAUUUAAUAAACGAUUUGGGUCUGAUCAAUGUAGAAUCACUGGGAGACCUUGAAGUAAUACUUUAUUAUAGGUUUCCAUAUUCAGAAAUCAUGUGCCCCAUCCAGGUAGGUGUUUUCUCUGUUUCUCUUUCUUCUCUCUUAUCAUCUUUUGUGGAAUUAUUUUUUGACAUUAUGGUUCAUGUGAUACAGGGAUUACAUGAAUUUGGCAUAUUUAGUACGUAUAUUCCUGUGAGCAAGGUUCCUAGUUGGUUCAAUGAUGAAAAUAGGAGGUUAUCUUCCUCGUUUACUGUGCCUUCACUUAAUUUGAGGAUCCGAGGAUUGAACGUAUGCGCUGUUCAUGGAAAAAAGUAUUCCUAUCGGGAUGUAGAUCCAACAAUUACAAAAAUCCAUAACAAGACCAAGAAUCUAACUUGGAUAUACCGUCCUGUGUACUUGGGAACUCGAGUAGACGAUAGAGACGGUGAAGAUAUUGUAUGGUUAAGCCAUUGGAAGUUUUGUAAUCAGUUGGAGGGUGGGGAUGAAGUCAGUGUUACUGUAUGUAUUGGAGAGUUUAUCCAGGUAGAGAAGAUUGGUAUCAAUCUUGUGUAUGGUGACAUAGAAGAUAAUGUGUCUGAAAAUAUUGAUGAGAUAGAGAGUGAUGAAGUCGUCGGUGGAGACUUGACAAAAUAUCAGUUGAGCACAGGAGCCUACUUCCUUGCCCACGGUAGCCAAGUAUAUCUCCUGGACGAUAUUCCACGGAGAGUAUUCGGGGACAAUGUAAAAUAUGAAGGUGUUUUUUUUUAAAUAAAUUAUUUUCUUUCAUAUCUUGACGAAAAAUAAAUAUUCUUUGGAGGUAAUAAUUUCCUAACUUGUAUGGUGGCAGAGUUAGGUAAUUGGACUUGGACAGGUCAUUCUUAGUGAGUCAAAGUACUCAAAUGAUUUUACACGGAGAGUAUUCUUUGGAGGUAAUAAUUUUAAAGGCCGAUAAUGAUUUUAUAAUUUUGAAUGGGUAAAUUAUAAUUUAUGCAAUAUUAUGUAGUUUAUUAAAAAUGAAAUAUACACCAUAUAUAUAUAUAUAUAUAUAUAUCUGUGUGUGUGUGUGUGUGUGCUCCUACUAAUUUUAGUUCAACAUGUUUGCAGCAGUUGACUCCAAGAUUGCUCUGCAAGUUGAGCAGCAGCAGUUUGACUUGUUGCUCCAAAAUUUGAUCAGCAUAGUUUGUAAUUUGAUCAACAAGUGCCCAAUGGAUUUCUUCAUCAAUAAGAAAGAGGUAGUUAGUUGCGAUAAUAGUUCCAUAAAUUACGGAAAAUUUCCAUUCUAAAUGGAUAUUUGUAUGUAUUCAACAGUAUAGAAAUAUUAUAUGAAGGUGCGAUGAUGCGUUUGGUAUUCCAGACAAGCAAAACAUUCUCACAUUAGUCAUAUAUCAUUUAAUGUGCUGAGUUAUAUAAUUCUUUUCCUAAGGACUUGAGUCAGUUAUCCUUGCUAAGGGAAUUGCUUUUGGACGAAAAUCCGAUUGAAGCCCUUCCAGAAUCUAUCGAAACUCUUCCAAAUCUUGAGUAUCUCUCUGUAAGUUCAUGUAAUAGACUACGAUCUAGGAUAGGUCUGCCAUGUAGUGUACGAUAUUUGUUCGCGGGUGAAAUCAAGUCGCUGGAAAGGAUAACCUUUAAAUCAAAACCUCAGCUGUUACGCUAUGUGGGUUUCAACUCAAGACUAAGAGAAGUGCAAGGAUUCUUCCGGUUAGAACCUAUUGGAGCCGUUGAUAGUGAUUUAAUAAACGAUUUGGGUCUGAUCAAUGUAGAAUCACUAGGAGACCUUGAAGUAAUACUUUAGUAUAGGUUUCCAUAUUCGGGGAAUGAUGAGGUGCCCCAUCCAGGUAGGUGUUUUCUCUGUUUCUCUUUCUUAUCUCUUAUCAUCUUUUG